GAAAACGAGACAUGAUUAACCGACACACCACUUAAAAACCCACAAAGGAGUUAUCCCCAGCUUGUGGGUAAAAAUAUUUUAGCAUUCACAACUGUCGGGUGUAUGCCUACACCCCGUGCUUUGGUCGGGGCCAUUAGUAGCUUAAAUGAGCCGAGGAUAUCCAGGAAACGGUCGUGUUAACCCCCAAUGUUUAGGUUAUCAAACAAAACAGAUUAAAAUGGGUUAUGCGGAUUUAUAGCCACAAUCCGGCAUAUGAUCAUAUACCCGACCAAGCGGUACUAAUUUACUGUAUCCUAAGCCCGUAUAGGGAAAAUAAGUUAAAAGUAUUUACUUGAGCUAAAACUUGAUUCAAGUGCAAGAUUUAAGUAACUCAGUUGUAUUCAAAUUAAAUAAGUGUAGGUAUCAUUUACUAAAGGCUAUACUCUAGAAUGAUGCUAUAAAUAACCAAUUAGAAUGUUAACGGGUCCUAUUUAAGUCGUAGACUUAGAUUGACUAGCUUAAAGAGUGAAUACGGUACAAUACGCUAGAUUAAGUGAUGACCGGAAUAGAAUGUAGUUUAAACCCAACAAGUAUGAAGACUUGUAUAAUAUGGGUAAACUAAUUACAUUCUUGAAAUUGAAGUUAAAAUGAUAAGGUUAAACCUGUUUCGGAAACUUAUGUAAACUAGUCGCAUAAGUCGAACUGUAUGUGUACAAGCAUUAACGGGUAACCGGGUGAGUCAUGUACAAGUUUCAUAUGUCAUUAUACUUUAAACAGGUUAUAAUAUAAGCAGGAUAUCAACUUGUAUGCCUGUUAAGAUUUUAAAAUCGAAUUAAGCCUCAAAAGGGCGUUUUGGUCAUUUAGCGACUUAUAAAAGGAGCUUGCAUGUAAACUAAUGUUAUGAUCAUAAACAUUCUGGAAAAAUAGUUAAAUUAUGAUAUAAUAUCAGUAGGAUAUCAAAUAUAUGUGUGGUUUAUGUAAAAACAUUUUAAAUAAGUUAUAAAAUCAGUAGGUAAUAAGUCUUAGUUGGUAAAUAUGGUUUAAGACCAUACUAUGCGCUGAAACGACGUUAAAGUCGUUAAAUGACGAUAUUAGCGAUGUUUUUUGAAAACUGAUGUUAUGACCAGGUAAAAAGGUUUUGCAUGAAAAGCUUGAUUAAAACCAUUUUAAGUGCCAUAAGGGCAUUAUCAUCAUUUAUCGACAUAAUACAUGAACUUCAAGUUAAAUUCAGAAUAUAAACUGACUUAACAUCCCAAAUAAUCCUACUUAUGAUAUUACAUCCGUAGGUAAUGAGUUUUAUGAAGAAAUUAUGUCUAGAACCAUUUUAGAUGCCGAAAGGGCAUUUUGGUCCUUUUAAAUGCAUAAUUUACGAUGAUAUAUUAAAACUCAGUUUAUGAUCAUAAUAUUAACAUCAAAAUAUGUUAAACAUGUUAACAUAUCAGUAUGCAAAUCAUUUGUAAGUUUAUUUAUGUUUAAAACCUUAUUUUUAACAAAAGGGCAAUAUGGUCAAAGUAUAACAUAUUAACGGAACUUGCAAUAAAAACUCAGAUUACUAUAUGACCAUGUGAUAUAACCUCAGAGGAUUAUACCACAAAAUAAUAUGGUCAUAAUGGAAUCUUAAAAUUGUAAGAAUAUUCUAAUUUGGGUCAGAAUCGAAAGUCAAAGCAGAAGACAAACUUCGCGACUUUCGGUUGUGAACCGACCCUAAACCUGGAACUGACGGGCUGAACAUGUUUACACAUGUUCUAAUAAUUAUUACCAAGUUAUUAAAGUGAUAAAACAUAUUUUAUAACACCUACAUUAUCAGAUUUUAAUUAUUUUAAAAACUGACCCGUUUGACUUUUUAAUAUUAAUAACUUUGACCCGUCAAUUGAUCAAGCAAACGUGAUUCUUAGGAGGUGCCUGAUGUAGUGGGUGGUACGAUAAAUGAAGAUUACACGUUGAUUCUACGAAUACCCGUGUAGUUAUUCCCCAACCCCCAAAUUGUAACCCCAAAGGCCACGAAAUUUGAAAUUAAAAAACUGUUUUCUCAAAAUUCAAUUCUGAUUGUUCAAAUGACUAGGGCAAUACAUAAAUAGAGACAGAAAUUCGAAAGGGGCCUAAAAAAGACAAUGGGCCAAACACAAGCCCAAAAACAA
rnacentral:lncRNA from 1 species